UUUUGACUGUGCAAAGGUAGCAUAAUAAUUAGCUUCUUAAUUAGAAGCUGGAAUGAAUGAUUGGACAAGAAAAUUUCUGUCUCUAUUUAAUUGGUUAUUGAAUUUUAUUUUUAAGUUAAAAAGCUUAAAUUUUUGUAAAAGACGAGAAGACCCUAUAGAGUUUAAUAUUUAAAUUUUAUUUAAUUUUAGUAUUUUUUUUGAUUUUUAAGUAUUUAAUUGGGGUGAUUUAAAGAUAAAAAUAAUUCUUUAAUUUUUUAAUUGAUGAUAAUUAAAUUGUAAAUCUAUAUUUUUAAAUUUAAUAUAAAUUACCUUAGGGAUAACAGCGUAAUUUUUCUUUAAAGCUCUUAUUAAAAGAAGAUUUUGCGACCUCGAUGUUGGAUUAAAAUUAAUUUUUGGUGCAGUAACUUAAAAAUUAGGUCUGUUCGACCUUUGAAAUUUUACAUGAUCUGAGUUUAAACCGGUGUAAGCCAGGUUGGAUUCUAUCUUUAAAUUUUUUAUAUAUUUUAGUACGAAAGGACCAAAUAUAUAUUAUAUUAAUUG
rnacentral:rRNA from 1 species